AGUUUGGACGCGGCAGUCCAGAGGGAAGGACGUUCUUAUACUUCUCUCGUGCAUACCAUCCAGUCACUAUGUAUUUUGUUAAUUGAAAUAGCUGUGUGCUUACUCUGGGGUGAACCUGGUACUGGCUUUUUCUGAGGUUCCUUGUUCCAUCUUUUGUGUAAACCACUUUCAUCGAUGGUGGCCGAGUAUUGGUGACGUCUUGUGUAGACCAAGUGGCCAGUAGAGAACAUUGUCUAUUGGAGGACCUCACCAGUCCAUUCUUGUCAAGACCAAGUGGCAAUAGACAACAGUGGAGGACCUUACCAGUUCCCAUACUAGGACAUACUAGGACAUUUACUUUCAAUGUGUAUCAAUUCAAACUAUAUUAAAUAUGUAAAAACAAUGU
rnacentral:sRNA from 1 species